rnacentral:lncRNA from 1 species
GUUUCAAGUAUUUGAGAGAGAGAGAGAGGCAAUACACACCAUGAUCCUCUGAUUAUACCAAACACACAAAGAGAAAGCUUAUGGCUAAACAAACAAACAAAAUAACAGUUUUAGAUUUAGGUGCUAAACCAACUAACCAUUUAGUUUCUACAUGUGAUGGUGUUGACUCGCAGCUUGAAGCAAAGGAAAUAUCUUGGAAAUUCUCAUAGCAUAAGAAAAAGUGAUGACCAAAUGAAGUCGGGCCUGCUCGAACGUUGUUCUUGCGCUAUACAGAUCCUGAAAGUGAACAUCAAUUUGCCCAUUUUCCGUUGGUCCCUGAAACACAUAACAAUAGAAAACGUAAGCGUAAGAGGAAGGAAAAAGAAACAAUCGGUAUGAUUCUGAUGAGUUUAGAGGUCAAUAGUUUUGAAAUUAGAGACCCAAAACUUUAAAGCUAUAAGUAUAACAAACUCUACAAAAGAUCACAACUUUUGUAAAAGAAACAAAGCAAACAAACUGAACUGCUCAAAUUCGGUUUUGGAUUGUUUUAUCAUCAAA